AAAACAUCUUUUUUUGAAUAAAAUUUUAAGUUGUCUCUGCCCAAUGAAAUUUUAAAUGGCUGCAGUAUAUUGACUGUACAAAGGUAGCAUAAUAGAUUGUUUUUUAAAUGAAAACUGGAAUAAAAGAGUUAAUGAAAUAUAAACUUUUUUUAGUUAAUUUUUUGAAUUUAAUAUUUAAAUAAGAAAGUUUAAAUAUAUUUAAGGGACGAGAAGACCCUAUAGAAUUUUACAAGUAUUAAGUUUUGUUAAAAUUAUUAAUUUAAUUUUUGUUUAUUUGGGAGGAAUAUUAAAAUUUUAAACUUUAAUAUAAUAAAACAUAAAUAAAUGGUUUAUUAGAUUUUUAUUUAAAAUUAUAAAUUAAAUUACCUUAGGGAUAACAGCAUAAUAAUUUUGGAUAGGCCUUAUUGAAAAAAUUGUUU
rnacentral:rRNA from 1 species